rnacentral:rRNA from 1 species
AGAGUUUGAUCAUGGCUCAGAUUGAACGCUGGCGGAAUGCUUUACACAUGCAAGUCGAACGGCAGCACGGGGGCAACCCUGGUGGCGAGUGGCGAACGGGUGAGUAAUACAUCGGAACGUGCCCAGUCGUGGGGGAUAACUACGCGAAAGCGUAGCUAAUACCGCAUACGAACUCUGGUUGAAAGCGGGGGAUCGCAAGACCUCGCGCGAUUGGAGCGGCCGAUGGCAGAUUAGGUAGUUGGUGGGGUAAAGGCUCACCAAGCCGACGAUCUGUAGCUGGUCUGAGAGGACGACCAGCCACACUGGGACUGAGACACGGCCCAGACUCCUACGGGAGGCAGCAGUGGGGAAUUUUGGACAAUGGGCGCAAGCCUGAUCCAGCCAUUCCGCGUGCAGGAUGAAGGCCCCCGGGUUGUAAACUGCUUUUGUACGGAACGAAAAAGCCCUCUCUAAUACAGGGGGUCCAUGACGGUACCGUGAGAAUAAGCACCGGCUAACUACGUGCCAGCAGCCGCGGUAAUACGUAGGGUGCAAGCGUUAAUCGGAAUUACUGGGCGUAAAGCGUGCGCAGGCGGUGAUGUAAGACAGGUGUGAAAUCCCCGGGCUUAACCUGGGAACUGCAUUUGUGACUGCAUCGCUGGAGUGCGGCAGAGGGGGAUGGAAUUCCGCGUGUAGCAGUGAAAUGCGUAGAUAUGCGGAGGAACACCGAUGGCGAAGGCAAUCCCCUGGGCCUGCACUGACGCUCAUGCACGAAAGCGUGGGGAGCAAACAGGAUUAGAUACCCCGGUAGUCCUGGCCCUAAACGAUGAAUGCUUGGUGUGACGGGUAUCGAUCCCUGUCGUGCCGAAGCUAACGCAUUAAGCAUUCCGCCUGGGGAGUACGGUCGCAAGGCUGAAACUCAAAUGAAUUGACGG